GGUAUAUCUGCUUAGGUAACCGGACACUAAGGGUGUCUUGCGUGUAGCAUUGUCUGUAUCAGAAGGCAUCACUUAAGGAAUUUAAAUAGUUCUGAAUUAUAAAUUCGGUUUUCAUACAUUAAUAGAUUUGGCAAGGCUGUGUUAACUGUGGUGAAUACCACGACUGGGAAUCUAGUAAAAUGUACAAGGCUCAAUAUUGUAGGGAAAAUGCAGUUAGAAUGUGUUUAUUCUGUGAAGCCAAAUUGUUAGAUCAGAAAAGACGGAAAAAGUAAAGUCUUGGGCUGGGGAUGUGGCUCAAGUGGUAGUGCGCUCACCUGGCAUGCUUGGGGCACUGGGUUUGAUCCUCAAUACCACGUAAAAAUAAAAUAGAGGUAUUGUGUCCACCUAAAACUAAAAAAUAAAUAUUAAAAAAGUAAAACCUUAUCCAAAUGAAUAUUGUAAUAAAACUUGAUGAUUAAACAGAGAUUAAGUGGUUCACUGUACAGAAUGUCACUUUUCUUAAAAUUGUAUCACUGGUGACUUGAAAUCUAUUAUUGGUGCUGGGGAUUGAACCCAGGGCCUUGUGCAUGUGAGGCAAGCACUCUACAAACUGAGCUAUAUCUCCAGCCCUUUUACUAUUAUUUUUUUGUUCCACAAAUACAUUAAAGUUAGAUGAAGUUAGGUUAGAUAAAUGCUUACAGAGAAACUACCUGCUAUCUGCUUCCUUUUUUCUUCCACACAGGUUGAUACUCAGUUGUGAGGGUGGUAAACCGUCUUAAACCAUGAGAACAAGAACAAUCCAUAAUGGAUUAUAGAUAUAUGUAUUGGAGAAAAUGUCACCUGUGUUAAUUUGAAAGGCCAAUUAACAAUCUUAUAGCUCUAAGGGAAGUGGUUCAGAGAAAGAAUGUAUGUUGGCUAUCACUUUUUGCAAAAGCAAGAUUCAACCAAGAGAUGUCAAUUAAGAACCAGUUUGCAAACAGAUUGAAGAAAAUAGAACUAUUCUGCUGGAACCCUUGUUGUCCGUGCACAUGCUACUUAGAGUCUCCAGUGGUCAGUUUGGAUACUUAGUAUCUCAAGCAUUUUCUCAUCACUCAUCUUUUCUAGGACAACACAUAUUUACAGACCAACAGAGCUAGAAAGGAUCCUUGAGAGAUUAACUUCAAUCUUCUCAAUUUAAAGCUUAAAUGUGGAUAAAGGUAAGUGGUUUACCCAAGGUCAAAUGUCUAACUCAUCAGAUUCAGUUACAUUGGCCAAGGGAGAAUUUUUGGCAUUUGUACAGAUAUUUCUUCUUGACCCUUUAAUGCAGAAUGGGCAAUUUCAUCUAAGGCUUCCACCCAAUUCACCUUCCUCAUCAAGUGUAAUUUUUUUAUGCAUUAGAUCAUUUAUGCCUCUAUUGAUUUUAGUACAAUCCAAGUUGUUUAAAUAAGGAGAUCCCCAGCACAGUGUCUGAAAAACAAUAAAAGGUUAUUUCUUUCAAAUUAUGGUAGAGGUGGGUGGUCCAGGAUUCGUAGGGCUGGUUUGUCAUCUUUGACAUAUAGUUAUGUCAGCAUCUAAAUGGUUAAGGAACUCUUACUUCUACUUCCACUGCAGAGAAGGAAUGCAGGGACAGGGCAAGAGAAAUACACACCCCAGUACUUUUAAAAAAUAUAUUUUGACUGAUAAAAAUUAUGUAUAUUAAUGGUAUACAACAUACUGUUUUCAAAUAUAUAUCCAUUGUAGAAUGGCAAAAAUCAAGUUAUUGUAUACAGUCUCACAUAUUUAUUUGUGCAUUAUUUAUAUAAUUAUUUUGGUGAACACUUAAAAUCUACUCUUAGUAAUUUUUAAGUGUAUAAUACAUUGUUAUUAAUUAUAGUUACCAUGUUAUUCAAUACCUAAUUGAAAUUUUGUAUCCUUUGAUUAACAUCUCUACAGUGCCAACACCACUCCAAGCCCCUGGUAACUAUCAUUUUACUCUUUACAUUUGGCUUUAGAUUUCACUUAUAAGUGAGAUCAUGCAGUAUGUGUCUUUCUGUGCUUGUAUAUUAAUAUUUCACUUGGCAUAAGGUCCUCCAGGUUCAUCCACGUUGUCACAAAUUAUAGGACUUUCUUCUUUUUUAAAGACUGUACAAUUUUCCAUUUUUGAAUGCAUACCAUAUUUUCUUUAUGCAUUCAUCCAUUGAUGAACACGGGGUUGGAGACAUCUCUUUGACAUUGUUUUCAUUUCCUUGGAAUUAUAUACAGUAGAGGGAUUGCUGGAUUGUAUGAUAGCUCUAUUUUUAAUAUUUUGAGGAACCUCCAUAAACUCCCAUAACAGCUAUACUAAUUUCAGUCCCACCAAUAGUAUGCAAGGAGAAUUUUUUCUCUACAUCCUUGCCAACAGUUGUCACCUUUGCUUUAUUUAUUUAUUUUUUAUGCUAUCCAUUCUAAUAGGUGUGAGACAGUAUCUCAAUGCAACUUUUUUUUUUUUUUUUGUAGCAGGGAUUGAACCCAGAGGUGCUUCACUAUUGAGCUAUGCCCCCACCUCUUAUUUUUUGAGACCGGGUCUUUCUAAGUUACUGAGAGUAACCUCGAGUUUGCAAUGCUCUUGCUUAGACUCCUGAGUAGCUGGGAUUAUGCCUUGUGCCUUUGAUUUUCAUUUCCCUAAUAAUUAGAUGUUGGGCAUUUUUCAUAUAUUUACUUGUUACAUGAUACAAUCCAGAAGUCACAUCCAUCAUCACUUUCUCCUACAUCCCAUUGGAACUUAACUUUGAAAGAGGUGGCUAGAAAAUAUAAACUCUUUCUAGCCAACUAAAAUGUGGGAAUUCUACUUAUAAAGUACGGAGUGUGAAUAUUGGUGGUCAAUUAGUUUCUACACCAAUAACUCCACCUCAGGGAUAAGCUACACAGACAUCUAUUAUUGACUCCAUUAAAACAAAUUAUUUUAAAAACAUUUUUAACCAUGGUAAAGUGUAAAACUAAAAAGGAACUCCAUUUGUACUGAAAAAAAGCCCAGAAUGUUUAUGAGUAAAAGGCAAUAAAAAUAAUGCAAAUGGCUUUGGGACUCCAACAAGAACAAGCAUUGCUGAGAACAAGACUUUAUUUUUUUCUCCAUACAAGGCAAAAGUUUGCACAAAACCAAAAUUAAUGUGAGAAGGUAAACAAAAGGUAUUUACAUAUUCCUUUCAUCUGCUUCAAAGUCUCUAAAAAAUUAAAAAGUGCGUGUUGGGGGCCAUGUUCAUUUCUCAUGUAUUUCUGAUGGUUAUAUCUGAGUAGAGAGCUUUCUUAACUACCAGAAAAUGGAGGUCCCUAUUUAUAAUACCCACUUGAGAUUCCAAGUGUUGAGACUACAAGUCCUACAUGGCAUCAUCACACAUGUGUGCCCAACAUUGCAGAAUCCUGAUUGCUUAUUGCUUAACAGUAUUUUCCCCUUUGUUUUUUUAAAUAUUUAUUUUUUAGUUGUAGUUGGACACAACACCUUUAUUUCACUUAUUUAUUUUUAUGUGGUGCUGAGGAUCGAACCCAGGGUCUCAUGCGUGCAGGGCAAGCACUCUAACGCUGAGCCACAACCCCAGUCCCUCCCCCGUGGUCUUUUAAUACCUGUACUGGAAAACAGAGAGAAUAUCCCAUUCUUCUAAUAGAGUAGUACUCAAGAAUAUUCCUGUUCCUAAAAUAUAUUUUUUUUCACUUGAUCUCAUUAGCAGGAUUCCUUAGUGUCUGAUUCAAAAUCACAUAUUGAUAACAUGGAAAUUAACAAAUGGCUAUUAACAGCAAGCGUUAAUACAUACCAAGUCUUUACUAUAUGUCAGGUGCUCUGCUAAGUGCAUGAAACAGAAUCCUUUAGUCCUCUCAACAACUCCAUGAAGUAGUUACGAUUUUUAUAGAUGAGGAAAUUUUGUAGAUAAGGAAAGUGAGAUUCGGAGGUUAAGUUCUCUUAGAAAGCUAACUAGCAAUUUGACAGAGCUGGAACUUAAACAUAAGGCUUGACCCUUUUAAAAAUUUUGAUCAGAAAUGAUAUAUUCUGCCCUUAAAAAUGCACAGAUUCCUCUAACUGGUGUCCACAAUAAUUUUUAUUAGUUAGGUAGGCAUCUUACUUAAUCUUCUCAUCUUCCAGUCCUAGAAAUGUAUGAAAGAACUUGAUCCAUUUUCAACUUAUAGAAUAUUAGUAAGCUUCAAAUGGAAAAUGUGUUAACCAUUCAUAUUAAGAUAUUCAUUUUUUUUUUGUAUUUUAUUUACAGACAGGGUUUCACUAAGGUGCUUAGUGCCUUGCUUUUUUGCUGAGACUGGCUUUAAACUUAUGAUCUUCCUAUCUCAGCCUCCUGAGCUGCUGGGAUUACAGACGUGCGUCACCAUACCCGGUGCCAUUUUGGUUGUUUUUUAAGUUUGCAUUUUAACAUACAAAUGGAAAAACAUAUUUAAUAAUUUAAUACAGUGGUUGAAGAGUUGAUUUUUUCCAAUUAAUUAUGAGUUUGGUUGCUGAAAAUCACUGCACAUGGUUUACAAAGAGUUUCAAAGAAUGUUAUUAUUGAUUACAAAAUACACUCAAAACUAAACAUUAUAAAUGUAUCUUUCCUCUCAUAAGCCAGAAAGCACUUAGUUAUUUUCUAGAUCUUAAAGCAGAAGUUUUCAAAUACUCAUUUCAAUUUAGGGCCCUGCGAAGAUCUGUGGCAAAAUGCGAAAAAUAAGUGAAAUUGUUAUGUUGCUGGUUUAUUAAGUUUGCUAACACUUUUUUUCCCCAAAAUGAUACCUUUUCUACUUUUUAGUAUUGAUAUCCUUCAUUCCUUUUUUCUCCUCAUAUCCCCUUGAGAAUAUAUUUCCUAAUUUCAAACUAAGGAUUAGUUUUUAGAAAAUAAAUACCUUUAAUAGUUAAAAAACCCAGUCAUCCCAAAGAAACAAACCCAUCACAUAUCAUUAAUUUCUCAAAAGGUUAAAUUGUAAUAAUUGGUUAUUAGAGUAUGGAAAUUGGAGUUCUGGGAGAGGACUAUAUGUGAGACUCUCCUGGUUAUCAAGACAGGCCUUGGCUAAGAUUCACACAUUCAAGCACUGUUGAUCUCCAAGGAAGUGGGGGAGAAGGCAAUAACUAAUCAAAACUGAUGAGCUGAAAAACUAGGCAGAAGGGAGGAAUGUGGGUUCCUUGUGGGUAGACAGCCUUAUAAGUAGCCUAGCUGUCAGGAUAUAAAGCUUUAGGCCAGUAAAUAAAGUGGGAGAAGGUGAUCCUGGUUUCUUACUCUUAUGUAAGAUCUUUAAGGGAGGUCUAACAUGGUUCCAUAAUGGUGAUACUCCCACAGUACUUACCAGCAUGGGCAGAAGCAAAUCUUCUGUGGAGUCAAGACUUCCCCAGUAUUGGCCUGUAGAAUUCAUAUAUAUUAGCAAGCAAAGAACUACUAAAUAUCACUAUAUAUGUGAAGAGGCCAGACACUGAGAGUCAGACAAAACAACAAACAUUUUACUCCCAAGGAUUGCAGAUAAUGGAAUUCUUAGAGACAUAACAUAGUGUGCUUAAAUAAAGGCCACAAUAAAUUAACAGGAAUGAACAGCAGAUUAAAAGAUGAAUUCUAGCUGGGUGUAGUGGCACACACUUGUUUGUAAUCCUACUGGCUUGGGAAGCUGAGGCAAGAGGAUUAUGAGUUCAAAGCCAGCCUCAGCAAAAGCCAGGUGCUAAGCAACUCAGUGAGACCCUGUUUCUAAAUAAAAUACGAAAUAGGGCUGGGGAUGUGGUUCAGUGGUUGAGUGCCCCUGAGUUCAAUCCCCGGUACCCGCCCCCCUACCAAAAAAAAAAAAAAAAAAGACAAAUUCUAGAUAAAACAUAAUUGUUGAGAUAUAAUUUUUAAAAUUUAAAAUAUAAGUAUUAAAAUGUAAUUAUGGAAACUUAAACCUCAGUGAAUGAAUUAAAUGAUAAAUUAGACACAGCUGAGUGAAUAGCUGAGUAAUACAUAAUAUACAUUAAAUAAGUAUUCAGAUUAGAGCACAGAGACAAAGAGAUGGAAAUUAAGAAAAGGGAAGACAAAGUGAGGUCUAAUAUAGGUCUAAUUUUAAGUUCCCAAAAGAACACACAGAAUGAAUAUAAUAGUUGUGAAUUUCCUGACUUGAUUAGAAAGAUGAAUCUAAAAAUCCACAGAUCCUAGAAGCAAAUGCAUUAGAAACAGAAUAGAUAAGAUGAAAUUGAUAGGAGGCAAAGUAUCAAUUCUAAUUAUUCCAUCUAAAAGGCAUGCUUUCAAAUUCACAAUAGGUUACUGAACCAGCCUAGGUGUCCUGUCAACAGAUGAAUGGAUAAAGAAAAUAUGGUAAAUAGAUACAAUGGAGUUUUACUCAGCUAAAAAGAAGAAUGAAGUUACGUCACUUGCAGGAAAAUGGAUGGAACUGGAAAAAACACGUUAAGUGAAACAAGCCAGUCUCAGAAAGUCCAGUCAUUAUGUUUUAUCUGUGGAAGCUAGAGAGAAAAAAGGAAAAACAAAACAAAACAACCCCUCCUCAAAAAAAGGGGAGGAGGAUGGAUUUCAUAAAAAUAGAAGGCAAAUCAGCAAAGUAGAAGAAUAGGGUUAGUGGGAGGGAGAAGAGGAGGAAAAGGUGAGGUACUGGGGGAAUGAAAUUGACCAAGUUAUGUAUGUUAUGUGCAGGUAUGAAUAUAUCAAAAUGAACCCUGUUAUAAUGUAUAAUUAUAAUGUGCCAAUAAAAAAUUAAAAAUAAAGGGAAUAUUCCCUAUAUGACUUGCCUUUUUCCCC
rnacentral:lncRNA from 1 species